rnacentral:misc_RNA from 1 species
GAUGAAGAACGUAGCGAGAUGCGAUAAGUAAUGUGAAUUGCAGAAUUCAGUGAAUCAUCGAAUCUUUGAACGCACAUUGCGCCCGCCAGUAUUCUGGCGGGCAUGCCUGUCUGAGCGUCAUUUCAACCCUCAUGCCCCUAGGGCGUGGUGUUGGGGAUCGGCCAAAGCCCGCGAGGGACGGCCGGCCCCUAAAUCUAGUGGCGGACCCGUCGUGGCCUCCUCUGCGAAGUAGUGAUAUUCCGCAUCGGAGAGCGACGAGCCCCUGCCGUUAAACCCCCAACUUUCCAAGGUUGACCUCAGAUCAGGUAGGAAUACCCGCUGAACUUAAGCAUAUCAAUAAGCGGAGGA